rnacentral:rRNA from 1 species
UAUUAACUUAAAAUAAGAUUGGAGAUUAUAAGCAAUAGCUUAAAAACCUAAUAAUUUGGCGGUGUUUUAUUCAAUCAGGGGGACCUGUACUUUAAAUCGACAGUCCACGUUAAACUUUAUCUAAUUUUAAUACUUUAUCUUGUGUACUGCCGUUUAAUAAACUCUUUUGGAGCUUUAUAAGAAAUAUAAAAAUUAUAAGUCAGGUCAUAGUGCAGCUUACAAUUAGACAGUAUAUGGGUCACAUUUUUAAAUAUAAAAGUAAAAUUAUAAAAUAAUUUUUAUAGUAAAUAGGACUUGAUAGUAAUUAUAAAAUUAUUUAUAUUAUGAUGAAUAUGAACUUAAAACAAGU